UGCCGGCCGGGGGACGGACUGGGA
rnacentral:ncRNA from 4 species